AUGCAGCCAGCGCCGCCCCUCUAUUCGUCCACGCAUAGGGGUCACACCGCUUAUAUAAUACACAGACGCAGGCAAUACACUUCCAAUUUCCAGUCACAAGAUCCAAUCAAUCAUACAAACACGAUAGCAAGCCAAGAAUUAAGAGGCUCUGGGAAGAUGCAGGCGGCGAAGGAGAAGGUGAAGGACGGCGUGAGCGCGGUGAAGGCCAAGGCCAAGAUCACGCAGGCCAAGGCGUCGGAGAAGGCGGAGGCGGCCACGGCGAGGUCGCACGCGGAGCGGGAGCUGGCGCACGAGCGCGGCAAGGCCAAGGUGGCCGCGGCCAAGAUGGAGCUGCACCAGGACAAGGCGCUCCACCGGGAGGAGGCCAUGGAGCACCGCAUCCACAAGCACGGCGGCGGCCACGGCCGCCACCACCACAAGCACGGCGUCGGCAUCGUGGCCGCGCCCCCGCCGGCGACCGGUGCCGGGGCUUACCACCCUCCUCCCGCCGCCGGUGGCCACUACUACUGA
rnacentral:rRNA from 1 species